CCAUUGUACAGCGUUUAACAUAUUUUAUGUUUAAGUUGAUUCCAAAUUUGAAUACGUGUUUUUAUAUAUUAAAAAAUAAACAAUGGAUGCAAAAUACAUAUGCAUAUUAUUCGUGUGUUUUUUAAUGCAUUAUUUAGUAAUUAUUCAAAGUGUUGCAGACGAGACACCAGGAGAACGCAUGGAAAGAAUCCAGAAUGAGCUUGCGGCUAUACGAGAAACUUACGAACUAACAUUAGCUCAUUUCAAUCUUAGAUUUGGAAGUAAACUUACCAAGGAACAAGUAGUGUUUGUUUUAAGGAACUGUAAUAGAAAAACUAUACUCGAGUAUUUCCGUGAAAAAAAUUAUGCGCCAAACAACCGAAACAAUAUCAAUGCAGAUCUACUCGGAGACAUUGUGAGAAAAAUUUGCGAAAAGAAUGGGACGCAAGUAUUAGACUUUUUGGGAACAAUAAAUAAAUCAAUGCGUGUUGUUGUAAUUGGCUGUUAUUAGCUUAUUUAAUAGUAUAUAACCUUAUUUUAAUAUAGUAAAAUGUAUUUGUAAUACUAACGCAGUGCUAUUCUGUUCAAUCAUCCAUUAAUUUGUGUAUACAAUUUUCAAAUAAAAUGUAAUAGGAGA